UAAAGCCCUUUUGUUGGGAAAGAAAUCCAGCUGGUUAAUACCCGGUUGGGAUGACGGUACCCAAAGAAUAAGCACCGGCUAACUUCGUGCCAGCAGCCGCGGUAAUACGAAGGGUGCAAGCGUUACUCGGAAUUACUGGGCGUAAAGCGUGCGUAGGUGGUCGUUUAAGUCCGUUGUGAAAGCUCUGGGCUCAACCUGGGAACUGCAGUGGAUACUGGACGACUAGAGUGUGGUAGAGGGUAGCGGAAUUCCUGGUGUAGCAGUGAAAUGCGUAGAGAUCAGGAGGAACAUCCAUGGCGAAGGCAGCUACCUGGACCAACACUGACACUGAGGCACGAAAGCGUGGGGAGCAAACAGGAUUAGAUACCCUGGUAGUCCACGCCCUAAACGAUGCGAACUGGAUGUUGGGUGCAAUUUGGCACGCAGUAUCGAAGCUAACGCGUUAAGUUCGCCGCCUGGGGAGUACGGUCGCAAGACUGAAACUCAAAGGAAUUGACGGA
rnacentral:rRNA from 1 species